CUCUUGUUCCCUCAAUUUGGCAUCCAAUCAAUGACAUUCACACUCACAAUAGCCACCAAUAAAAAACUCAGCCUUUUCUAUUUCUCCCAUGAAGGUCUCUCUUUCACUCUCUCUCUGCAACAAAGAAGAACCACCCUCAAAAGUCACAAGCGAGACCUGCAACCUACACCAUUGAAUCCUCCUCGACCCCACGAACACAACCAUGCAACCAUAUUCGAGAACGAACGAGUUUUGACUCACCAACUCGAAAGGUCCGACUCGGUGAGUUUUGGUUCAACGAUUUUCAGGCCGUUCACGGCUUAGCACAUAAAGCUCGAGGGGGGAAAGACUGCUCAGUUUUCCAACAAAGGAGCCGUGACCAUUUGGUCACUUUCAACUAUUUUUUUCCGACUAACCUCGACCACGACUGGACUCCUAAUAGGGGAAACAUAUCCCGAUGACGUAAGAGGUCAAGCAAGGCUAGGAGGCUUCGUUUCGACUGCGUAUAUAUUUAGUAACUGUGCUUACGUAUUUACAAGGAUUCUGGCAAAUCUCAGGAGAUGGUUAACUUCAGUGGUAUAACCCUCAUCCUAUUCAUUAUACUGUCUUAUGCUCUAACAUCACGUGUGAAAAGGGUUCAAUCCCACUCACCCACGCACUCCUUUGUUUAGACACUUUUAGAUUUAAAUUUAUUCAUAUUCUUUUUUUCCACUACACUACACUUUAUG